rnacentral:lncRNA from 1 species
AUUAAGUUCACUAUCAUCCAAUGCACAAUAUAGAAUAUUCAUGGCUUUUGCAUUUUGCUGAGCCAUUUUCUUAUCAUGAUUAGCAUUUGUAUGUAGCCCAUUGACUAUGAUACUCCAUAAAUCGUAGUCAUGUGCUUGAAUGAAAAUGCGCAUGCGUGCUUUCCAAUAUGUGUAGUUUAUACCAUUAAAUAGUGGAGGUCUAUCUGUGAAUUGUCCCUCACUCAUAGAACAUCCAACUUGGGUUGUCAUGAUCUUUAACUCUUGAUUGUGAGAUCAAUGAGUACUAUUGGAGCACCUCGCUCUGAUACCACUUGUUGCCCAAGGUGACAAGCCAAGAGGGGGGGUGAAUUGGUUUCUUUUAAUUUUAACUAUCUUACUUGUGUUAAAUGAUGAGUUAGUGAACUUAAACAAAUCACAAUACAAACAACAAAAAGUAUAGUGGUUCGGUGCUCUCCUUAGCACCUACGUCCACUCCCCAAGCAACCCCUUGGGAAUUCACUAUAAUCCCGCGGAUUACAGUUGGAUUGUUUUCCGGGCUCACAAUCCAAAAAUCUUUAC